rnacentral:rRNA from 1 species
AUUGAACGCUGGCGGCAGGCCUAACACAUGCAAGUCGGACGGUAGCACAGAGGAGCUUGCUCCUCGGGUGACGAGUGGCGGACGGGUGAGUAAUGUCUGGGGAUCUGCCCGAUAGAGGGGGAUAACCACUGGAAACGGUGGCUAAUACCGCAUAACGUCGCAAGACCAAAGAGGGGGACCUUCGGGCCUCUCACUAUCGGAUGAACCCAGAUGGGAUUAGCUAGUAGGCGGGGUAACGGCCCACCUAGGCGACGAUCCCUAGCUGGUCUGAGAGGAUGACCAGCCACACUGGAACUAAGACACGGUCCAGACUCCUACGGGAGGCAGCAGUGGGGAAUAUUGCACAAUGGCGCAAGCCUGAUGCAGCCAUGCCGCGUGUAUGAAGAAGGCCUUCGGGUUGUAAAGUACUUUCAGCGGGGAGGAAGGCGAUGUGGUUAAUAACCGCGUCGAUUGACGUUACCCGCAGAAGAAGCACCGGCUAACUCCGUGCCAGCCGCCGCGGUAA